CAGCACUCGCCACACCAGUGACCGAGCUUUCGACGGCCUGGUUGGGUCAGAGUCCUGUGUGUAUUGUGACAGUGGGUUCCAGACGUGCAAUAUUGAAACAAGUCUUUGAAGUUUAGUGUGUAAAGGGCAUACUUGAGUUAGCACUCAGUGACACGGUU